ensembl:snRNA U7 U7 small nuclear RNA
GAGUGUUACAGCUCUUUUAGAAUUUGUCUAGCAGGCUUUCUGGGUUUUGCCAGAAAGCCCCC